ensembl:lncRNA
CCCCAGCCAUCUUGGUCAGCCCUGGUUGCCAGGCACUUGUUUGCAUUGGAGACAGAUCCCUCCAUGGAGUUUCAUGUGGUCAGUUGGGGCCCACAGGACACUGGCAAUUGGAGGCAGAGCUGUGAGGCCCUUUGCAGACAUGGAGGGCUGGCUGGUGGCCACUGAAAUGGCUCCCUAGCUGGUCCUGGAGCAGCUGGGAGCUAACCUGCCUGUGAUGAAUGAAAGCUUGAGACACGUGCCAGGAGUCUCUGGGCUUCCCUGGGAGAUCUUGCUCAGAGCCUCACCUCUCAGCUGUGUCCGGUGGCCCUGUGUCUGGAGCCGCUACUUUUCAAUGUCUACAGAAAAUAAAUCUACAGUCUCUCGCUUCGGGCAAGGGAAGAGGUGAUCUCUGAUGGCCUGUGUCGGGGGAGGGGUCAGGGCACCAGCCCCUGCUUGGGACUCUCAGCCGGCGCCGGGUUUCAGCCCCGGUGCUCUGUCUGCAGCGUUUGGGGCCUCGGUCCUGUGAGCACGCAGCUCUGCGAGGCCGCAGCUGUCUCCCCGACGGCUGCGCUGCAGCAAGCUCCUUAGCUUCCUCCACUCCGCUGAGCCAGUGCCUCUGCUCUGUGCGCUCCUCCAAAACAACGCUGAUCUGCCGAUGCUUCCCAUUUUCUUUAUAGUCGUAGAUUUAAUAUAGUUUUUACUCUGUUCCUCUAAUUUUAGUGAUGUCUCAGGAGGAAGAGGAGACGAAAAUGUUUACUCUGUCUGGAAUUUGAAAGAACUCGGUCAAAGAGUCUUUGUAUACAGUCUGCUUUUGAUUUUUUGGUUAGAAAAAGUAAUAAUUGUAGUAUUCAUUAAUAAAGUUGUCUACAUGUUCCAAUGUAAUUUGCAAAAUAUCCUAUGAUUAUAUUCAGUACAAUAUACAAAAACCAACACACUAUGAAAUGUUUUAUUUCAGCACAGUUAUUUGAUCAUUACACAUUUUUGAAAGGCAGAUAUGAACAAUAUCAAGAUAACUAUUGGAACUGAUUAUUUUCCCCUUAUGAUUGAUACAAUUUGGUUGAUAGCAAUCUUUCUGGGAAAAUUUUUCUGACAUUUAAAAAACAUAAACUAAAAUUCUUAGAUUUGUCUUAUGCAAAAUAAACAUUUAUUAUUUCUGUUUAUAUUCUUUACUAUUUUAUUUAUAUUUAGUAAUUAAAUAAUUUUUGUACUUCUCAGGAUUCUUUAGAAAACAGAGGGCACACUCUUCUGGGAUUUAGAAGAGAAUUUCAUGCAGGGCUUCUUUACUAAGGUGUGGGCAGGACUAGGGGGACCAAUAAAGGAUGUUGAGGGAUCCGGGGACUAGCGCGAGUGGGAAGCUGUUAAUAAACUAGGCCUGAAAGGGCAAGGGCAGAAAUGGUGUUAUUGAUCAGGGAGUGGGGGAGCUGUCCGGGGAGGGAGCUAUUAUCUCAGUGGGAUUCAGGCCCGGCCAGGCAGGGAGGCAGUGGAGGUUUAAGUACCCUGGCAUCUCUCUCCUUCUGCUCUCUGGCCUUCGUCCAUUGACCUAACCCAACCAGAAGCAUACAAAGCAGGAAAGCCAUGUGAUGCCAUCCUCAGGAGUCAGCCUGAUGCACUGAGCUAGGCAGCGAAGAACAGAGAAUGAAUGGAGCAAAGAGAGGCAAAAGCAGCACAGUUAACUACGUUACAAUAUAAAACUGUUUGUGUGGACUUAAUUUGGAGAAAAAAGAAAGAUCUCAAAUAAACAAUCUAAUUUUCCACUUCAAAGAAAGAACAAAAUAAGCUCAAGGUUAGUAAUAAGAAGGAAGUAAAGACCAGAGCAAAAAUAAAUGAAAUAGAGACAAAAAGACAAUAGAAAAGAUGAAUAGAACAAAGAGCUGUCUUUUUAUUUUAUUUUUUUGCUGAGGAAGAUUCGGCCUGAGCUAACAGCUGUUGCCAAUCCUCCUCUUUUUGCUUGAUGAAGAUUCGCCUUGAGCUAACAUCCAUGCCAGUCUUCCCCUAUUUUGUAUGUGGGUCGCUGCCACAGUAUGGCCCCCAACAAGUGGUGUAGGUCUAUGCCUGGGAACCAAACAUGGGCUGCCGAAGCAGAGCAUGCCAAACUUAACCACUAGGCUGUGGGGCCAGCCCCUAAGAGCUGUCUUUUUAAAAGAUAAAUAAAAUUGACAAACUUUUACCUAGACUAAGAAAAAAGAGACAAGACUCAAAUAAAUAAAAUCAGAAAUGAGAGGAGACAUUACAACUGAUGACACAGAAAUACAAAGGACUGUAAGAGAAUACUAUGAACAGUUAUACACCAACGAAUUAGAUAACAUAGAAGAUUAACCUAGAAAUGGAUACAUUCCUAGAAAUAUGCAGUCUAUAAAGACUGAGUCAUGAAGAAAUAGAAAAUCUGAACAGACCAAUGAUAAGUAAGGAGGUUGCAUUGAAUCAAAAACCUCCCAACAAAGAAAAAUCCAGGACCAGAUGGCUUCACUCGUGAAUUCUACCAAAAAUUUAAAGAAAAAUUAACAGCAAUCCUUCUCAAACUCUUCCCAAAAAUUGAAGAGGGAACACUUCCAAAUUCAUUUUAUGAGGCCAGCAUUACCCUGAUCCCAAAGCCAGACAAGAACACUACAAGAAAGAAAAUUAUGGGCCAGUAUCUCUGAUAAACAUAGAUGCAAAAAUUCUCAAUGACAUACUAGCAAACCAAAUCCAACAUCACAUUAAAAGGAUCAUACACCAUGAUCAAGUGGGAUUUAACCCUGGGAUGCAAGGAUGGUUCAACAUAUGCAGAUCAAUAAAUAUGAUACCCUAUAUUAACAAAAUAAAGGAUAAAAAUCAUAUGAUAAUCUCAAUAGAUGCAGAAGCAGCAUUUGACAAAAAUCAACAUCCUUUAAUGAUAAAAUCUCUCAACAAAUUAGGUAUAGGUGGAAUGUACCUCAGCAUAAUAAAGGCCAUAUAUGAUAAGCCCACAGCUAACGUUAUACUCAAUGGUGAAAAGCUAAAAGCUUUUCCUCUAGAAACAUGACAAGAAUGUCUACUCUUGCCACUUCUAUUCAAUAUAGUACUAGAAAUUCUAGCCAGAGCAGUUAGACAAGAAAACGAAAUAAAAGACUUUCAAAUCUGAAGGGAAGAAGUAAAAUUGUCUGUUUGCAGAUGACAUGAUUUUAUCAAUAGAAAACCCUAAAGAUUCCACCAAAAGACUGUCAGAACUAAUAAACAAAUUCAGUAAAGUUGCAGUAUACAAAAUCAAUAUACAAAAAUCAGUUGCAGGCCAGCCCUGUGGCUGAGGGGUUAAGUUUGCACACUUCGCUUCAGCGGCUCGGGGAUCACUGGUUCCAAUCCUGGGCGCCAAAAUACACACCGCGUAUUGAGCCGUGCUGUGGCAGCAUCCCACACAGAAGAACUGGAAGGACUUACAACUAGGAUAGACAACUAUGUGCUGGGGCUUUGGGGAGGAAAAAAUCAGUUACAUUUUUAUACACUAGCAACAAACUAUUGAAUGAGAAAUUAAGAAAACAAUCUCAUUUACAAUAGUGUCAAAAAGAAUAAAGUACUCAGGAAUAAAUUUAACAAGGAGGAGAAAAAUCUGUACACUGGAAACUAUAAAACAUUGAUGAAAGAAAGUGAAGAAUACACAAAUAAGUGGAAAGUUAUUGUGUGUUCAUAGAUUGGAAGAAUUAAUAUUGUUAAAAUAUCCACACUACCCAAAAUCAACUCUAAAUGGAUUAAAGACCUGAACAUAAGACCUGAAACUGAAACUCCUUUCUUUAUAAAGGAUAAACUCCUUGACAUUGUUCUUGGUAAUGAGUUUUUGGACUUGACACCAAAAGCAUAGUCAACAAAAGCAAAAAUAAAUAAGUAAGGGGGACUACAUCAAACUAAAAAGCUUCUACACAGCAAAGGAAACCAUCAACAAAAUGAAAAGGCAGUCUGUGGAACAGGAGAAAAUAUUUGCAAACCACAUAUCCAAUAAGGGGUUAAUAUCUAAAAUACAUGAUCUUGAGCACCUUUUCAUGUGCCUGUUGACCAUUUGUAUGUCUUCUUUGGAAAAAUGUCUAUUCACGUCCUUUGCCUUUUCUUUAAUUGGUUAUUUAUUUAUAUUGUUUGCUGUUGAGUUCUAUGAGUUCCUUACAUAUUUUGGAAAGGAACACGUGGUGGUUCUGCUUGAAAAGAACCUAUAUUUACAUAUUUGAGAUUUUAUAAAGGAGAUAGAAAUUUUAACCUCUUCAUAACUGAGGUAAAAUAGAAAUGUUCAUAUUUUUCUUUAAAUACUUUCUCUCUAUAGUAUUAGCAACAAAAUUUAAGGGAAAAUCCAAUUCUCAAGUCUAUAACAAUGCUAACCUUCCCAUUUGAUUUUGCUGAAUUCUUUGACCUUCCAAUUUGAAACUUAACAAUCUCUUAGCAAAAUUUUAGCAUUGAUUUUCUCUUACUACUUAUGAAAGGUAGCAUUUUUAGCAAAAUGCCUUAAGUGUGUUAAUAAAAAUUCACUUUAUUAUUCUUGUUAUUGUCAUAUUUGGUGAAGCUACUUGGGGGUUAAUCUUCUGGCCCCUACACUUGCAGAUCUCCAUAGAGCUCGGUGCGUGUUAAGUGCAUGGAAGAAAUUGAGAACUGGGUCUUUGGUUUAUUUCUCAAAUGCUCAUUUGAAUUGCCUUUGCUUAGUUCUCAAAGGUGCUUUCCCGGAUCUCCAUUCAUGUGCACACUGCCGCCUCUCUCUCUCUUUGUGAAUUUGGACAAUCCAUACCCCUACCGGCUCUUUGGUUUCCAAGGGUUCUGGUCCCUGAAGCAUUGCUGCUUAGCAACAGGUUAACUGCUUCUGCCUUCCUUCGGGCUACAAAAGGGCCAUCAGAACGUCCUGCACUCACCCCCGACGGCUGCAGACUCGCUUUCUCUGCUGGAUCACUGACGUCAGGUUGCCCGCACCUACCCCGCGAAGGCUGCAGACCCGCUUUCCUGUGUUGGAUUACUGACAGGCUGCAUCAUUCUGUCUGUCUUUAAACUGCAGCAAGAUAGAAGAUGUAGGUUUUAAAAUCAACCGUUUCUUAUUAAAACCUGCAUACUUGUUUGGCUUGAUUUUACAACAAUCUUUUUGCUUAAAAGGAUUCCUUAAUUGAAAUAAGCUAAAUCUUUUUACUCUACAUUUAAACCAAAGAAAAUAGACAUGUUUUAAGCUGAUUACAAAAACUCCUCCAAAAUACCUUUUCUUAGUAAAAUUUGCCUCAUAUAAAUAGUAUUUUGAAUAAAGAGGGUAGUGACAAGUUAACCUUCAUAUAUAUUAUAUGAAAUUUAAAUAUAUAGCAGAAGAAGCCAAUUUGGGAUUAAAACAUGCAGUACUAUGAUACUUUGAGAAAUCAAAGACAUGUAAAAAACUUCUCUAAGAAAUACCCAAGUUCAGUUCUGUUGAGCCAGGGAGCAAGUGAAGUGAACGUAAAGUUGGCAGUUUCCCAUUUAGUUAUAAAAGACCAUAACAUCGCGGAUUCUUCACCUGCCACACAAAUUGUUCUAACCAUCCCUGUUGUUGGAGAAGGAGAGAAAAAAGAAUGCUGAAGCCGCUUGGGAAAACAUUUGAUUUCCCCCCAAAAUAAAAUAAACUCAAACAAAUUUUAUAAGAUUUUAAAAGUUUUAGGACCUCUCAUGCUCGCCAAGAUAGAGCAAACACACUACAGCCUAUUUCUCCCACUCAUUACAGCUGAAAUUUUUGAACAAAAUUAUAUAUCAACUCCCUGCAGACUCUGGAAAGUAAAUAACGGUAGGCAAAUUGGGCGGCGGGGUCAAAAUUUACAGAAGUGACCUGUGCAAGAGUGAGGUUCUCAGGUUAUUCUCUUAACUCUUCCAGCUUUGACAUGAAAGGCGCCCCAGUCACAGAACUCCCCAGCUGGCAUGCGCACCAGAAACUCCAAGAAAAGCCCUCUCCUUCUGCCCAGAGGACCAGGAAAAAGGGUCCCUAUGAGCCAAAGAGAUUGCAGGGGGAAAUCCCUGUGUGUUCUCUCUCAAAAUAGAGAGAGAGAGAGAGAGACAUGACAUUUGAUAAAGAUGAUACAGAUACAGAUGUAGACAUAGGUAUAGAUAUGAAGAUGUAUAUAGCAGUCCCUCCUUAUCCUUAGUUUCACUUUCCACAGUUUCAGUUACCCAUGAUCAACUGUGCUCCAAAAAUAUUAAAUAGCAAAUUCCAGAAAUAAACAAUUCAUAAGUUUUAAAUUGCACACUAUUCUGAGUAGUGUGAUGUCAUCUCUCGCUGUCUGGCUCUGUCCUGCCCGGGACGUGAAAACACCCCUUUGUCCAGCAGAUCCACACUCUAUGUGCUACCUACCCGUUAGCCCAUUAGUUAGGAAAAAAGACAGUGUAUAUAGGGUUCCCUAUUAUCGGUAGUUUCAGGCAACCACUGGGGGUCCUGGAAUGUAUGCCCCGUGGAUAAGGGGGCCUGCUGUAUAGAUACAUCUUGCUGCUUUUUCUUUCUCAGCUCUGCUCAAGGGAGACUCCAGUCCUGGUCCUAUAGAAAGGCAGGAUUGGCAACAAAAACUCUGAGAAGUUCCUGUAAGCCAAGCAGUGUGUGUUGGGGAACCUUAGAGAAAGUGCUGGAGAGGGGACCUGCCUCUGCACAUGAACUGGCUCAAGUCGUGGGCUCAGCUGAAGCCGCACACGCAUGGACAGUCCCACAGAGGUGAACAAAAGCUUUGAAACCUGAGCUGUGUUGGAACCACCACCCACGGCAGGAGAGAGAGUUGCAGUCUGAGCCUAAGGGGAGUGACUGCCUGCUUAAAAUCAGUGCUCUCCACAGGAUUUCAACAGGUUGCAGAAUCUGACAACAUAACAUUCAAAAUGUCCAGGAUACAAUACAAAAUUAUUGGACACCCGAGGAAUCAGGGAAAUAUGACCUAUUCAUAUGGGAAAAGGCAAUCAAUAUGUGUCAAGCCAAAAAUGGCCCAGUUGUUGGAUCAUCAGACAAAAUUUGAAAGCAGCUAUUAUAACCAUGCUCAUAAGAUGAAUAGAAAGAUAGAAGUUCUUGGCAGAGACAUAGAAGCUAUAAAGAUUCCAAGUGGGAAUUUUAGAACUGAAAAAUAUAAUUUCUGAAAUUUAAAAAAAGGUAAGGGAUGGGCUUCAUAGCACAAUGGAAAUAACAGAAGACUCCGUGACUUGAACACAGAUCAAUAGAAAUUAACCAUUCUGAGGAAUGCUGAGAUAAAGGACAGAACAAAAUGAAGGGAGCUUCAGGAAUCUGAGAGGCAACAUCAAAAGGCCUAAAAAGUCAUCAUUGGGUCACAGAAAGGGGAGGGGGAAAUGAAGUGGGAAAAAAUGUUUUGGAGGAAUAAUUACUGAAAAUUUCCUAAAUUUGGUGAACAAUAUAAAUUUACAGGUUCAAGAAAUGCUGCAAAAUCCAAACAAGAUGCCCAGGAUAUUAUAAUCAAACUGCUGAAAAUCAGAGAUAAAAAACCUUGAAAGCAGCCAGGAAAAAACACCACACUCAAUGCAGGGAACAACAAUUUGAAUUACAGAUAACGGCCAAAAUCGAAUCAAAAAUCCAGUGGGCAGAACAGAGUGAAUCACUAUCUUUAAAGUGUUAACAGGAAAGAACCAUCAAUCCAGAACUGUAUAUUCAGUGCAAAUCUUCUUUGCAAAUAUUCUUUGGUAGUUCUAAAAUACGUCCACAAAUCCACUGACAAUCCUCCCUUCAAAAGCUGGAGCCUAGUUCCCCUCCUCUUGAGAGUGAGACAGAACUAGGGAUUCACGUCUAAUGAGCAGCAUAUGGUAGAAACGACACUUUAUGAUUCUGAAUUUUCAGUUACCAAUUUAGUCGACACAGUUCCCCAACACCAUGGAUCAAAUUUUGGUUACCUCAGUGUAGUAACUGUGAGUAAUUGCAUGAAGUUCUGUCUCGCUGAAACUGUGUGGGUGGCCCCACUCCACCCAUCACACGUGAACAGCAGAUGGCAUCGUGCUCGGUGACUGAUGACAGCACUUCUUGCAGAGUCUGUCGGUGACUGGGCACUGCACGCCUCUUAGCUCAUGUGCACAGACAGCAAAGCAUGUGGUUGCGUUGCCUCCUUGUCUCCGGUGAUAAACCCACAUGACAGUUUACAAAAGUGGGUCAUCCAAAGAGGGCAUUGGCCAACAAGGAUGAAAGUGCAGUGAAGAAAUGGAAGCUGGAAACAAUGAGAGUGAAAUUCAAAGCAAACAUAAAUGGGUCAUCAAAGACAGAGCGACUGCACGAGCCAGACAGUCGAGACGUGCUGUCAAAGGAACCGAGUGAAGUGAAUUUAUCAAACAAGUGAGCAAAGUGGUUGUGACAAAAAGGACGAAGAUGUCCCAGAGGAAGGGACACCGGCAAAAAAACUCCCAUUAAAGGAACCUGGAGAUAUUUCAUGACGUUAGAAGCACAAAGGAGAAAACGUUGGAAGCUGAUGCAAACUUAGAAAGGAGUACGAUGAGUUGUGAAGUAAGUUAUACCACUUACGAAGGCAGGUGCCGUUCACAUGACUCGGUGAGUUUUUCACGAAGACUGAAAACAGUUUAAUCUUGUGUUACUAAUGUUUUUGAUUGUAAUGUACAAAAUAAAUAUUAAUUUUACUAUUUUGCUCAUUUCCUCACACAUUUAUAACCGACAAUAUGAGUUUUUGAUGUUUUGAUGAAAAUUUCUAAAAGUCACAGAAAAUCCUAACUUUACCCAGUGGUUAUUAUGGCUGCAGGGCACAGUUUCAGCUGGCACGGCCAUUUUUACGGUCUGUCCUGCUGUGCAAAGCAAGGACUGUCUGUUUAUGCUGGGAGACCCUGUGUGCUAAAAUUCUAAAGAAUUCUCUGGGGCAUGUUUAGUUGUGCUUCAGCAGACUUGCGCUGGUUAUCCUCUGACAGCAGCCCCGUCUUUCUCUGUUGGUGGCAGUUCCAGUGUCGAUUCAUUUCAAACGUGCUUCUGCUCUGCCUUGCACGUGCAGCGCUCGGCACGUGUGUCUGCUCGUACACAGAAUGGUGAGCCGCUUUCCAGGCCUCUCCUCUCCAGGAUGACUCCCAGGCUCUCUGGUCCCCUGGGGUCUCUUUUCCUGGUGCGCUGGUUAGAAAGUCUCGGUUUCUCUCUGGUUGUUACCCGCCGACAUGCCCCAUGAUUUUGCCAAAAGGAACUGCCCUCAGGCGAAAUGAGGAGAGAAACAAUAAACACGGAUUCCCUCCACGUUCUUCAGAGAGGGUCGCAUCCUCCUGCCUCCCCUGGCUGGAAGGACCGUUUUUCUCUCAGGGUUGAGAUGACUGUGCCAUCCCAUUGGCUUCCGCAGGACUUCUCCAUGGUUAGGGUCCACUUCAGGUUAAGGCUGAAAAUAGCUGUGUGCUCUCCCAGGAAACUGAAGCUGACAAUCAACUCACAGAUUAGAGUCGAGUGCGAGGUAAACAGUACAGGCUCAGAUGCCAAGCGGGGAUUAACCUGCUCCCUUCCAGGGUCGCGGAUUCCAGCUUCUGGCAGCCUCUGUUCUCCAGUAUGCGCCACUAAUCAGGGGGCGGAGCCAGCUCUCAUCACCUACCUGGAAACAAUGAAAAUGGAUCUUUUAAGGCUGGUGGAUAGAAGCCUCAACCAAAGAGGAAUAUUAAUUACAGAUAUCAUUCUGCUAUAAAACACAUUAGUUCGGAAAGAAUCACGUAAAUAAGACAGACAAUCUUUUCCCACUUUGGGCUGUAGUUGAACUGAUCAAAAACGAAUUGGUUGAAAUGUGAAAGAACCGAAAAUAAGUAUUUCUGUCAUUGGUUUUCCACACGUUGCUAAUUUUUGCAUACUCUGGGCCGGCUCUUUUUGUCUAUGAAUCAUAACUUUUUUCUGAGAUUUCU